AACGAACGCUGGCGGCAGGCCUAACACAUGCAAGUCGAGCGCCCUUUCGGGGGAGCGGCGGACGGGUGGGUACCGCGUGGGAAUAUGCCCUUCUCUACGGAAUAGCCUCGGGAAACUGAGAGUAAUACCGUAUACGCCCUUUGGGGGAAAGAUUUAUCGGGGAAGGAUUAGCCCGCGUUGGAUUAGGUAGUUGGUGGGGUAAUGGCCUACCAAGCCGACGAUCCAUAGCUGGUUUGAGAGGAUGAUCAGCCACACUGGGACUGAGACACGGCCCAGACUCCUACGGGAGGCAGCAGUGGGGAAUCUUAGACAAUGGGGGCAACCCUGAUCCAGCCAUGCCGCGUGAGUGAUGAAGGCCUUAGGGUUGUAAAGCUCUUUCAGCUAGGAAGAUAAUGACGGUACCAGCAGAAGAAGCCCCGGCUAACUCCGUG
rnacentral:rRNA from 1 species